GCAUCUGUAGUGUAGUGGUUAUCAUCCCAGCCUUCCAUAGUCCUAUGGCUCUCGAAGUUGAGCUGGGGACUCGGGUUCGAUUCCCGACAGAUGCA
rnacentral:tRNA from 1 species